AACACACCAUUAUUGGUGGAUGCAUGUCUGAAACUGGGUCAGAGAAUACAUUCAGUUAUUGCUCUGAAUAUACGCGGAUAUUUAAAGUGCAUGGCAGAUUUAAUAAUUGUUAUGGAUAACCUCCAGCAGUAAGAAAUAUAAAGGCUCACUGCAGUUUUGAGUGCUCAACAAGUAUUGACCCCAUACUAUGCUCAGCAAGUAGGGCCCUUGUAUUUCUGUAAAUCCUCAUACAGUACAGUACUGCUGUUGGAAGAGGAGCAAACAGCGUGGUAUCUAUGGUCCACCAUCACUUCAAGCAUCAUGGCUAUGGAGAAAAGAAUGUUUCAUUACAUAUGGACAAUUAUAGUGGACAAAAUAAGAAAAGUGUUAUAAUAAGCUAUGGAAUGUGGCUUGUUAUGAUGGGUCUAAAUGAUGACUUGGAGUACAAACUGAUUGAGACCCGGCAUACAGAAUUCAGUCCUAAAAUGUUUAGAAUGUCUUCUGCAUGACCUGGUAUAGUAUACUUGAAGGAUUAUAACUUAAACACAGAGACGGUGAUUAAUAUUUUUAGGCAGGGGGUUGGCAUGACAGGCAAAUUCACCAACUGUAUUACCAUUCCUGAGUUGGAUGCCAGUCGACAGUGGUACCUGUAUAAUGAAAUAGCGCCCCUUUGCAGCAACAGCAAUGUAUGCUCAAAACCAGCAGGUCAAAGCCAUUAAAAUUG